rfam:Rattus norvegicus chromosome 5, whole genome shotgun sequence.
GGGGAUUUAGCUCAGUGGUAGAGCGCUUGCCUAGCAAACGCAAGGCCCUGGGUUCGGUCCCCAGCUCCA